AGCAGCCGCGGUAAUUCCAGCUCCAAUAGCGUAUAUUAAAGUUGCUGCAGUUAAAAAGCUCGUAGUUGAAUUUCGGGACCAUCAUGUCGGUCGUGCCUCGGUACGUACUGGCAUCGUCGGUUUCUCCCUUCUGACGAACCAUGAUGUCAUUUAUUUGGUGUCGUGGGGAAUCAGGACUGUUACUUUGAAAAAUUAGAGUGUUUAAAGCAGGCUCACGCUUGAAUACAUUAGCAUGGAAUAAUGAAAUAGGACGUUUGAUUCUAUUUUGUUGGUUUCUAGGAUCGACGUAAUGAUUAAUAGGGAUAGUUGGGGGCAUUAGUAUUCAAUUGUCAGAGGUGAAAUUCUUGGAUUUAUUGAAGACUAACUACUGCGAAAGCAUUUGCCAAGGAUGUUCUCAUUAAUCAAGAACGAAAGUUAGGGGAUCGAAGACGAUCAGAUACCGUCGUAGUCUUAACCAUAAACUAUGCCGACUAGGGAUCGGAUGAUGUUAAUUUUUAAUGACUCAUUC
rnacentral:rRNA from 1 species